rnacentral:misc_RNA from 1 species
GAUGAAGAACGCAGCGAAAUGCGAUACUUGGUGUGAAUUGCAGAAUCCCGUGAACCAUCGAGUCUUUGAACGCAAGUUGCGCCCGAAGCCAUUAGGCCGAGGGCACGCCUGCCUGGGCGUCACACGUCGUUGCCCCCCCAUCUACUCCUUCGGGAUUGCGGGGGGCGGAUGAUGGCCUCCCGUGCGCCUCGUCGCGCGGUUGGCAUAAAUGCCAAGUCCUCGGCGACACACGCCACGACAAUCGGUGGUUGCGAAACCUCGGUUGCCCGUCGUGUGCGGUCGUCGCGCAUCGAGGGCUCGAAAAAAUUGCCGGGCUCCGGCUCGGCUUUCAACGCGACCCCAGGUCAGGCGGGGUUACCCGCUGAAUUUAAGCAUAUCAAUAAGCGGAGA